rnacentral:rRNA from 1 species
AUGAUGAGACGUGAUGUCUCGUAUUACGACUUAAUCUUGAUGAUCGAAGAAGUUGGCUUUCAGGCAAUUGACUUUCUGUACUAUGCGAAAAAAUACCGUCUAGGCAGUUCCUACUUAGUUCACAUUUAUGAUGAAGGUCUUGUGAUGAAAAUGUUGUCCGACCCUGAGAUUGUGAAAGCUGUCCAUCUGUAUGUGUCUAAGGAGAAGGCUGACGAUCAUAUUGCUCCGCCUAGCAAGCAAAUUGAUGUUGCUCCAUCUAACCAUCCAAAUGAGAGUGUUCUCUUACAGGACGGUGGUGUCUCUGCUGAAGGGGCAGGGCAACUUACUAUGCAAGGGCCGCAAAGACCACCACGUAGGUCAAAAAGGUUGAAUGUGAUUCAGGUUACGGACCAACGUGAUGAUGAAGAUGGAGACUGCAACAAUGGUGAGCAAUUCCCACAAGGUCAUGAAUCACAAGCAUUGGUCGAUGAAGAGGGUCAAGUUCACAAUCAAGUAGACAAGGAAGUACGCAAGCGCAAGAGAACAAGCUUGCCAAUUGUCUGGAACAUGCCAAAGGGGCAGAGAAUAGUUGUGAAAUGCAAUGAAGAUAGCCAGCCUAUAGGAGAUGAAGGUGCAAUCUUGGGGAAGUUUCUGGGCACGAUUGCUAGAAAUGGAGGAUUUUGCCCACUAAACAUAAAUGAUUGGCGUCAUGUCAAAAAGAAUAGUGGUGAGGAAACAAUAUUGCAGUGCGUGCAGACAAAGUUCGUGUAUCCUCGAUCAUGUGAAAAAUGGAUACUCAAAUCAAUUGGAAGAGACUGGAGGAAAUUUAAGUCUAGUUUGAAAGAUGCUUUCUUCAAACCCGCCAUCGAAAAAAAUCCAAACAUCAAGCGAAAGGCUUUGUAUAAGCUCUGUCCAGAAGAUGUGGAUAACGAUCAAUGGCGUGGGCUUGUUAAAUAUUGGAAGUCCAAAAAAGGAAGGGCCCUUCCUGAGAAGAACAUAAUUAGUCGUUCCCUCGUGAAGGAUUCACAUAAUGAUGGCACAAAGAGUUAUGCUUGUUGGGGUGAAGACAUGAGGCAAGCUGAUCCUGAAAAGAAACGACCACACAGAUCAAAGGUUUAUUUAGCAACUCACAAGAAGAAGGACGAUGCUGAUGCUAAAAAUAAAGAUAGAAAUAAGCGCCUGGAUCGAUUGGAGAAUCUAAUAACCGAACAACCAGAGUUGGCACAAAAUUUGAAUGGAAGAGUCGCAUGGGAAGGUGAUGCCCUGCAGGAAGUGUUAGGGAAAUAA